UCUAAGUCGCUAACCCUAAUCCCUCAUUCCCUCAGCCUCUCUUCGAGAUUUCGACUGACCCUGACCCUCAGCCUCUCUUCGACUCACUCCCUCUGUCCCUCAGUUUCAGUCGCCGCCGACCCACCGCAAAGUUCGACGGUUCGGCCUUAUCUCUAAGCUAGCUCUAACCUCUCAGUCAGCCAUCUCACUCCCUCAGCCUUUCAGUCUCAGUCUUCCUAUUCAUAAUCUCGAACCGCUGAACCGCCGACCCACGGCUUUGCUUCGACCCACUACCAAGAGCCGCCUUCAUCUCACAACUCUCAAUCUCCCUCAGUCCCUCAUCUCAAAUUUCAUGAACCCAUCUUAAAUCUUACUCUUGGACAGUUUGAGUCUUGGGGAAAGCGGAGGCCGGAACUCAGGAAGACGAGCAGUCGGAGUAGACAGGAGGAAGGAGGGUGAGGUAUGCAAGGCAGUGAUCUGCUUAAAAUUGCAAUGAGGAGCAAACUGGAUGUUGGAGAACAUGCAAUUCAAUUUGCGUGUGUUCAAAUCAUUCCCUUUGUGCAAAGGGUUAUCCCUUUCAAGGGAAAAGAUGCUUACAGUCAAGGAGUCAUUGAUGUAGUGCGAGUAGAAGAUCCAAGAUGAAGUAGAACGAUUAGCAUGGGUGGAGAUCAUGUGCAGUGACCACGGUGGGUAGAGAUGGUAGUGAUUUGACAGCUACAACCAUUGGUAAAGCACGUUGGCAGGAACUUGACCAUGUUGUGGAAGAACUGGAGAAAAUUGUUGUUGUCAAUCUUCAGCAGCGAUCAAUAAUAUCUCUCAUUGGAAAUGUGCAGAAAUCAUCACUAAUAUU